AUUAAGAUGGCAGAGCCGGUAAUUGCAUAAAGCUUAAGCCUUUACUCCCAGAGGUUCAAACCCUCUUCUUAAUA
rfam:Sarcophilus harrisii ctg7180001759325, whole genome shotgun sequence.